GACAGAGGGUGCAAGCGUUGUUCGGAAUUAUUGGGCGUAAAGGGCGCGUAGGUGGCUACGUAAGUCGCAUGUGAAAGCCCUGGGCUCAACCCAGGAAGUGCAUUUGAUACUGCGUAGCUUGAGUACCGGAGAGGAUGGCGGAAUGCCCCAAGUAGAGGUGAAAUUCGUAGAUAUGGGGAGGAACACCGGUGGCGAAGGCGGCCAUCUGGACGGAUACUGACGCUGAGACGCGAAAGCGUGGGUAGCAAACAGG
rnacentral:rRNA from 1 species